CCUCCUCCUCCUCUGCUACUUCGUAGGCCAGUGCUCAAUCUCACUCAAAUUGCAUAAGCUUUCAAGUUUUCAUUUAUCAAAAUGACUAAUGUGGUGGAACUGAAAGUAGGUUUACAUUGUGAUGAAUGCAUUAAGAAAAUCUUGAAGGCUGUCAAGAAAAUUCAAGAUAUUGAAACAUAUAAUGUGGACAUUGAGCUCAACAAGGUCAUAGUGACUGGCAAUGUUACAACAGAAGAAGUCAUCAAAGCCAUCCAAAAGAGCGGCAAGACAGCAACCACUUGGGAAGGAGAUCAAACAAAUUCCUAAACUUGCGAAAGCUGUGUGCGUCCUCUACUAUUUAGUAAGAUCACACCAAACUAAAGAUUAUCAGAUGUGGCCAUGGAUAUUUUCACCUUCACUUGGUUAGCAGGACCGAAGAUAGAAGCCAAUCAGACAAACAUUUAUGCUUCAAUAUCUAGAUAUAUAUAUAGUAGUAGUUACUUUCAAGAAUCAUCAAAUCUAUGUUCUCUACCAAAUCAAAAUAAUUGAUGAUUCUUGAAAGUAACUACUACUA
rnacentral:misc_RNA from 1 species